rnacentral:ncRNA from 2 species
CGCGCUACCUCGGGGUGCCGAGGGGGCCCGCCCCCCGGCUGAGAUGCGCAAGCAAACCCGUUGAACCUGACCCGGUUAGAACCGGCGGAGGGAAGGUAUCCGGGCGCACU